GAUUGAACAGUCUGGGCACUGGAUAUCCCUUCUCUGGAAGAUCCCUGACUUCAUCACGGCUAAUUGGUCUACUGAUGACAUGACCCCUGAGACAAAAGAAACGUAUCCAGAUGUCCUGGAGAAGAUGAGAGACCCUGUGUCAGCAGUAAGGUGAGUGUCUGAUCCUAGUUAUUCAAUAUGUUUAACUGUCCUUGUUGAUAUACAUUAAUCUUUCUGAGAUUAGUUUCAGUACUAACUUUAGCUGCAUUCUGAUUCUGACAUUCGGACAUUAUGAGAUUUAUCUAUUACAUAUGUUGCCAAAAAUAGGGAAAGACUAGGUUUUUUUGGGGGGGGGGGGGGCACAUUUAAAGGGAUAGUUCACCCAAAAAUAAAAUUUCAAAAAAGUGUAUGACUUUCCUUGGA
ensembl:lncRNA